AAUAUCCUUUUCCAUCAGCUCUAAACACUGGUCUGAGUGGUUAUAAAAAUAAAAAGUAAAAUUGAACCUGACUUCGAUGCUUUUGUUCCACAAGAGCUAGCUCCAAAUAGUU
rnacentral:snoRNA from 1 species